rnacentral:lncRNA from 1 species
UUGGAAAAUCAUAAUACGUAAAAGCUGAGAUCCCUUCUGUCACUCUCAGAGAAGCUAACCCUAAGCCCACUUGGCUUGCAAAUGGUUUGAACAUAAGAUUGGCUUUUGAAAAUAAGUGUCAACGAUCCCUACUUCAUUCUGUCAUUUUCUAUUUCAGGAAAGAGACCUUCCUUCCCCGAUUCCAUUCCCCACUGUCCCCGUCAGAUGCUGGUCAGGGAUUCUGUUGUAUCCCUGAGAGGAUGUCAGGAGAGGGCACUGUUUCCCUAAAAUCACCAGGCCGGCUCUUCAACCUCCUCUUCUGGAAAAACACAAAGGAACAGCUGACGGAGAAGCUGUUCUGGGAGAGCAAGGAGUGAAAAGUUGCAUCGAUAUUUGCUAAAGAAAUCACCAUUUUUUGUUGAAGGCAGACACUUCCCCUGAAGAGAAAGGCAGGAGCUCCUAGUUCUCCAGAAGGCCAGGUCUUCCAUGUAUCUGUGGGGCUGGGGUGAGGAUGGGAGAACCCUCUUGGAGAAAGUCAACAACUGCCCUGGUUCCCAUCAGAUCAUCCUGUGAACAUACACGUGUAAAUUGUAGACUGCAAACCCAGAGGCAUCGUAAGGCACAGUGUUUUGUUUCAGCUUCUCCGACUGUAGUCCAAGCUUGUCUGACCCUCCGGCUUCUGAGGAGCCUUCUUAGUCUUGAGCUGUGGGACAGCUGUUCGAGUGCUACCGGGAUGACCCCUGAUAACUGCUGGAGUUCCAAGGGGCUUGUAAGGAAACCAUGAAUUUGGAGUUGUUGGAAAGCAGCUGUAACGAUCCCAAUGGAUGAAGUCAACUUCCGGCUGCGGUGAAUAUCGGCUGCGGGGAGUAUCAUUUUGGAGGUAAAGGUGAUACUGCCUACUUAACCUUACGAAUGAAUCUUGCUUUACUUUGAGAGUUUGACAUCCUUUGGUGGUUUACUGACUUGGUUUUAUGUCCCA